UACAGAGGUCUCAAGCGUUGUUCGGAUUCAUUGGGCGUAAAGGGUGCGUAGGUGGCUUGGUAAGUUUGAUGUGAAAUCUCCGGGCUUAACCCGGAAAUGGCAUUGAAUACUAUUGAGCUGGAGGUUUGGAGGGGGGACUGGAAUUCUCGGUGUAGCAGUGAAAUGCGUAGAUAUCGAGAGGAACACCAGUGGCGAAGGCGAGUCCCUGGACAACACCUGACACUGAGGCACGAAAGCUAGGGGAGCAAACGGG
rnacentral:rRNA from 1 species